rnacentral:rRNA from 1 species
UACAGAGGGUGCGAGCGUUAAUCGGAAUUACUGGGCGUAAAGCGUGCGCAGGCGGCUUUGCAAGACAGAUGUGAAAUCCCCGGGCUCAACCCGGGAACUGCGUCCGAUACUGGGAGGCUUGAAUCCGGGAGAGGGAUGUGGAAUUCCAGGUGUAGCGGUGAAAUGCGUAGAUAUCUGGAGGAACACCGGUGGCGAAGGCGGCAUCCUGGACCGGUAUUGACGCUGAGGCGCGAAAGCUAGGGGAGCAAACGGG